GGCGACUCGAUGUAGCAAGAGAAAAUCUGCCCUAUCAACUUUCGAUGGCCGUAUAGAGGACCGCCAUGGUUGUGACGGGUAACGGGGAAUUUGGGUUCUAUUCCGGAAAGGGAGCCUGAGAGACGGCUACCAUAUCCAAGUAAAGCAGCAGGCGCGCAAAUUGACCAAUCCCAAUACGGGGAGUCAGUGACGAGGAAUAGCAGUGUGUUGCCCUCUGGGUAUCACUAUUGCAAUGAGUCCAUUGUACACAAAUGGACCAGGAACAAUUGGAGGGCAAGUCUUGGUGCCAGCAGCCGCGGUAAUUCCAGCUCCAAUAGUGUAUAUUAAAGUUGUUGCGGUUAAAAGGCUCGUAGUUGAACUGCAGAGGACAGUUUCAUCACUGUUAAGGGGCUCCGGCCCUACAGGUAUUGGUGACUCUGUCGUUUCUGAACAAGCGUGCAUGGCAGUCCCGAUGAGUGCGCUCUGAAAGGACGCAUGUGCGCAUUUUACUGUGAACAAAUGUGAGUGUUCAAAGCAGGUUGCGGCCUGAAGAUAUUAGCAUGGGAUAACGAAAUACGACCUUUCUGGUCUGUUGGUUUAACAGAAAGGGCAAUGAUCGACAGGGACAGUUGGGGUCGAUGGUAUUGACUGGUUAGAGGUGAAAUUCUAUGACCCAGUCAAGACCGACAAGAGCGAAAGCAUUCGACAAGGAUGUUUUCUUUGAUCAAGAACGAAAGUUGAGGGCGCGAAGAUGAUCAGAUACCGUUGUAGUCUCAACUAUAAACUAUGUCGACUUGGGAUCGGAGGGUGUUACAUGGAUGACCUCUCCGGGACCAUGUGAGAAAUCACAAGUAACCAGACUCCGGGGGGAGUAUGGUCGCAAGACUGAAACUUAAAGGAAUUGACGGAAGGGCACCACCAGGAGUGGAGUCUGCGGCUUAAUUUGACCCAACACGGGGAAACUUACCAAGUCCGAACAUGACGAGGAUUGACAGACUGAUAGAUUUUUCUUGAUUUUAUGACAAGUGGUGCAUGGCCGUUUUUAGUUGGUGGUGUGAUCUGUCUGGUUAAUUCCGAUAACGAACGAGAUCUUAACUUAUUGACUAGGCUUCCAAAAGGUGGUUUGGUGCCAUGCUCCGGCAUUGCAUCAUUCCGUUAACUCUUUGGUCGUCUUCUCAAGAGGACCUUUCACCCAUCAAGUGGAACGAAGCGUGAGGCAACAACAGGUCUGUGAUGCCCUUAGAUGUUUUGGGCUGCACGCGCAUACACUGCCGUGCUCAGAGAGUAAUAGUGAUCCUAACCUUUAGAACGGUGGGGUACACUUUGAAUACAUCAUGUGACUGGGAUUGUGCUUUGUAAUUAUCGCACAUCAACGAGGAAUUCCUAGUAAAUACAAGUCAUCAGCUUGUGUUGACUAAGUCCCUGCCCUUUGUACACACCGCCCAUCGCUCCUACCGAUUGGAUGAUCCGGUGAGGAUUUGAGAUGUCUUG
rnacentral:rRNA from 1 species